UCCCUUUGGCUUGCCCGAGCAAAGGAAGCAGAGAAGACUUUCGGCCACACAUGGUAAAGAGGAGGAAAAACGCAGAGAAAGGUAGAACAAAAAGCUUUACUCUAUAGAAACGCCAGUCACGCACACAAGAGAAGAGGAGCAAAGCAUUUUUCUUCCUGAUUCUCCAUAAUCGCAAUCAAAAGGAAGAGUCCGGCAUGCAACUGCCUGCCGCCUCACACGCAAGUUUCAGAUUUCUUGUGUCUGCUUUCAAGAUUAAAGGAGAAAAACUUUUCAAAAAGAGAGGAGUAGCAGAGGUUUGCAGUGGCUUUGGCAGAUGAAAGACUACGUCGUGUGCUAAAGGAGAAGGCUAAAUCUAGUAAGAUUUCAUCAAUUUAUGGUCAUCUUCAUCUACAAAAGGACUAAAUCGAGAGAGAGCUGGAAGGGGAAUUUUCUAGAGACUUUCUUUAAAAGAGAGAUAGAGGAGGGUGAGCGAUUUUUUCUGGAGAGGACCGAGAGAACUAGAGGGAGAUUGAGGGAGAUUUCUAGAAGGAUAUGGUUUUUAGAGAAAAUGGUAAAGGUAGAAUCAAAGAGAGGAAACCGAGAGUGAUCCAGGCAGAAGCAGAGAAGCAGAUUUGGGAUAUCAAGAGGAGGAAGAGGCAUUGCACAGGGAGAUAACCUAGUGGAAAAUCUAUUGGAUUUUGAGUGUGAACUGAAAAGGCCAUACUUAUUAUUUAGGAACGCUGAAAAAGAAGUUAAUGGUAUACGGUUUUACAAUUCAGAUGAAAGUGAAGAAGCAGCAAAUCUCUUUAAUAGUAUACUCAAUGGCUUAUACAAUUGUUUAACUCUAGCAAUAUACUUGAUGCAUACUCGAAGGCAGCCACGAAGACAAAAUUGCCUUGUAGCAAAAGGGAAGGAUUUUUGAAAGGUUUAUGGUAUCUUAAAUCUCUACUACUAUAAAAGAGAGAUUCAAAUAUAUGCAGGAGAAUGGGAAAUUAUUUAGCCUCCUAUUCAAAUACAUGCUGUAGUGAAUUUAAGGAACUUGAACCAGCAGCUAUUGUAACAGAAAAGCGUCUAAAGUCAUCUUCAGCCACCCCUUCCGCAAUUGGUUCACUUGAAGAUCCUGCCUUUGUAGACUGCCUCAAUGCAUGCAAUCUAGUUGCACAUACAGCACGCCAAUUUUCUCUGCCUUUGGGUGAAUUCUUCUUCAAUGCUGAUUUUAAGUUUUCUUUUCUUUCAUAAACCUUUUAGACCACCCGGUAUGAUCCAAUUAUAGUAACUUGGAUAUUGCUUUCUCCUUGGUGUACCAAACAAUUGUGUCUAAGAAAGAUUUUCCCUUAUAGCUGAACAACUUUGCCUUCUAUUAAUCCUAAUGGGACUCGGCUUCUCUCAGAUAAGGGCAGCCACUCCUCCGCUAAGGGAGACAUGUAUUUAAAUCAUUCAUAUUAAAUCUAAACUGUCCAAAUGUAAUGUUUUUUAUUUUUUUAUUUUCCAUUUAUUAAACUAAAAAAUUUAAUAAACCUGUUUAUUAAAAUUUGACGAUGCAAUCAAUAGGUGGCGGUCAGUAAUUAAGCCUGGGCACUAGGAUAUAUUUUCUAAUUUUCAUGGUUACAGGGAGUAGAUUGGAUUAAAUGGAAUCUCAGAAAUGAAGGAGGGCAAAGUUUCUCCGGGAAGAUACCAUGGCCUACUCUUUUUGGGUAUGUUGGUUGCGACAUAUGGGUGACCAGAUGUAAUAGAGUCUUUGGAGGAGAGUACGAGGACAGAGCAUCAAAUGCUUAUCAAAGUCUUUUUCCAGCAACUAUGGAUAAGGAUCUGGUAACUAAAUUCUCUGCCUUAAGAAUAACUCUAUCAAUGCGAAAGCUCAAUUCAGUAGAAAAGGGUUCUCCAUCUGUGUAUUAAUGGAUGGCAGCAGCGAGUGUGGGGGAACUAUAAGGGAUGACAAGAAGAAUUGGAUUUGUGGCUUCACUUGUGAGCUGAAUUUUGUCCCUCCUGUGAUAACUGAGAUGAUUGCAAUGAUUAAUGGCUUGAGCCUUUGUUGGGCUUGAAGGUGUACCAAAGUUGAAGUCCACUCUAGUUGUGUUGAAGCUUUUAAUUUGAUUACAAGGGUUGUGAUCCUAAUUUCCCUUCAGUGACUUAGUUGAGGAAGUCAAAAUGUUAUUCUUCAAAGACUAGCAAAUUUAUUUGACUCAUGUAUAGAUGAUAAUAUUUUAGAGACUAAUAGCCUUGCUAGAUUUUUCCAUAA